rnacentral:rRNA from 1 species
UGCGCAGGCGGAACUAUAAGUCAGAGGUGAAAUCCUGCAGCUCAACUGUAGAAUUGCCUUUGAUACUGGUUAUCUUGAGUCAUUAUGAAGUAGUUAGAAUAUGUAGUGUAGCGGUGAAAUGCAUAGAUAUUACAUAGAAUACCAAUUGCGAAGGCAGAUUACUAAUAAUGUACUGACACUGAUGGACGAAAGCGUGGGGAGCGAACAGGAUUAGAUACCCUGGUAGUCC